rnacentral:lncRNA from 1 species
GCACAAAAUCAAAUGAUUCUUUUGUUGUGUAUCAAAAAAAAAAAGAAAUAACAACACUACUUGUAGAUACAUUAAUAUUGUUAAACCAGUUGUCAGAUGAUUUGAUAAAUAAUACCUCAACUAAACUACUGAGUGACAACACAAAAAACGAACUAAAUAUAAAUAAAAUUUAUAAAAAUUAUGAAAUUGUUCAAAAUAAAUUACAAAAUGCUACAUAUUUAACCAAAAUUAUAAAAAAACAGUUAGAGUUAGAAUUAAAAAAAAAAAAUGAAAACUUAGGUAAUAUAAAAGAGGAAAAACAAAUUGUUAAUAUAAAAACGGAAGAGCAGAAAGAACUUAAACAUUUCUUUAACAUUAAUGUAUGCCCUAUCAACCAAUCUAAUAAUAAACAAAUUUAUGAAACGAUAGUAACAAAAGAUAAACAUAAAAUAGUGGAAAAAAAACAGAAUCACAAUUUAAAUUAUUACAUUUAUUUUUGUGAAAAUAAUGAACACGAAAACUGCGAUGAUCAAUCUUGGGAAGAAAACAAAAAUGAGGAUUACAAAAAUGGAAUAAUUAAUAAUGUGAGUGAGGAUGGUAUGGAACAUAAGACACAAUUAGAAAAAAAUAAAAAUUUAAAUAAUAUAAAAAAUAAAAAUAAUAGUAAAAAUAUUUUUAAUGAUAAUAAUAACCACAAUAGUAACAACCAUCAUUAUCUAUGUGUUCAAAAUUUAAUAACAGAAUUAAAAGAUACUUUUAAAAAAAAAAAAAAUUAUAUUUAUAUUAACAAAAAAUUAUUUUUUGACAAAAAAAAAAAAGAUUUUUGCAUUGAUGAUAUAUCACCAACAGAUAUUCUCUUACUAAAAGAAAAAGUAAGUAAUGAAGAAAAUUGUACAUUCGAAAAAAAGCAAAAAUUAAACCAUAUAAAUUGUCAUAUUCAAUCAGAAACAUUACAGGACAAACAAACAAUUAUGGUAAAUCAAAACUAUGUUACUGAUAAUGAAGAUUAUAAAAAAAAUGGCGAUUAUGAAAAAAAUGGCGAUUAUGAAAAAAAUGGCGAUUAUGAAAAAAAUGACGAAUACGAUGAUAUAUGGUCACCUAUAGAAAAUACAUGUGCAUUCAGAAACUCAAUUGCCAAAUCGUUGUUACUAAUACAAAACAAUCAACAAUAAUAUGUCAAACAUAUAUAAAUAUAUAAAUAUAUAAAUACCGAAAUAAAUGUCAGCAUAAUGCGCCA